rnacentral:lncRNA from 1 species
GGUGGGCAUGUGACACAGGCCUUACCCCCUGUGCUCACAUAGCCAUGCUCAACCGUAUCCACGGAUUUUGUGUUAUGGUUCAACUUGUACCCAGAUUAAUUUACCACUCUGAAGAAGAAGUGAUACUCAGGUUAGAAAAUAAGGAAUUACAAAGGAAGGUAAAGGGAGAAGUAGCUGUAGCCGUAUUAACCAUAGGAGCCUGCUGGUAGCAGGCCCGCCCUGGCCCCUGGGGACUCAACCCCCAGUUCUUUGUUCUGCAUGUCAAUGUGGCCAGCUCACAAGGCCAUGACACGGGCUUGCGGUCUCCUGUUUAUCUGCCUCGAGCAUAUGUGUCUCUCAGGAACAUCUUGUCUUGUUCGAGCCUCCUGAUAGGGGACGGUGACGCGAUGGUAACCCAAGGACGCAGUUAUUACUCUUCCCUCCUCACUUUUGAGUGAUUUCCCGCAGCUGUUAAAAGAUAUAUAAGGGGAACAAAUUUGGCAAUAAAGCGCGCACGCUCCCUCCUGGAUGAAGAACCUUGGUGUCCUGUGUAUUUUUAACCCCGCCGUCCCUCGCCGGACUUGGCUCCAUUAGCCGGACAAGGCAGGAGCCCUGUUAGGAGCAGUAGGAGUGGGGACUGGAACAACGGCCCUGAUUGAACGGCGCUCUUAUUUUUCCAGUCUGAGGGAAGCUAUAGAUGAGGACAUCCAAGAACUACAGAGACAGGUAAAACAUUUGGAGGAAUUACAUGCAUCCCUUGCAGAAGUCGUGCUUCAAAAUCGAAGGGGCUUAGAUUUAGUGUUUUUACAACAAGGAGGACUUUGUGCAGCACUAGGAGAAGAAUGUUGUUUUUACGUUAACCACUCGGGGUAAUCAGACAAUAAUAGCCAAAGUACAGGAAGGAUUGGAGAAGCGGAGGAAAGAGAGAGAGCGUCAGAAAGGAUGGCUUGAAUCAUGGUUUGAUUAUUCCCCCUGGCUCACAACUUUACUUUCAGCUUUGGUUGGACCCUUACUUGUAAUUAUGCUUGCCUUAAUAGUAGGACCCUGUAUUAUAAAUACGUUUGCAGCCUUUGUAAAGGAACGAAUCAAUACAGUCCAGUUAAUAGUGUUACGAGCCCAGUACCAGUCCCUGGACAAAAGUAGUAGGGUCGAACCCUAUGAGCUUACUCAGAGGAAUCCAUGAUUGGCUUCCAAGGUACCCAAAAAGAAAUGGGGGAAUAAAAGACCUAAGCAACCUCAUUUUACUUGGGACCUCAUUUUGCUCUGAGACUUAACCCCUGACCUACUGCAGUCCUAAAGUCAGGAAAUACCACAGAAAGCUCUGCACAAACAGUUCUCAGAAAAGCCACAGAUGGUGAUUGCCUAAGAUAGGCCAGAUGUCGAAAUAUCUGAAAUUCCAGACGGCCCCCACCUAGGUGCAGUGACCAAUAUCUAAACCAGAAGCCCUGCAGCUUGGCACGUCC